AUUGAACGCUGGCGGCAUGCUUUACACAUGCAAGUCGAACGGUAACAGGCCGCAAGGUGCUGACGAGUGGCGAACGGGUGAGUAAUGCAUCGGAACGUGCCCAGUCGUGGGGGAUAACGCAGCGAAAGCUGUGCUAAUACCGCAUACGAUCUAUGGAUGAAAGCGGGGGACCGUAAGGCCUCGCGCGAUUGGAGCGGCCGAUGUCAGAUUAGGUAGUUGGUGGGGUAAAGGCCUACCAAGCCGACGAUCUGUAGCUGGUCUGAGAAGACGACCAGGCACACUGGGCCUGGGACACGGCCCAGACUCCUACGGGAGGCAGCAGUGGGGAAUUUUGGACAAUGGGCGCAAGCCUGAUCCAGCAAUGCCGCGUGCAGGAAGAAGGCCUUCGGGUUGUAAACUGCUUUUGUACGGAACGAAACGGUCUGGGUUAAUACCCUGGGCUAAUGACGGUACCGUAAGAAUAAGCACCGGCUAACUACGUGCCAGCAGCCGCGGUAACAC
rnacentral:rRNA from 1 species